rnacentral:lncRNA from 1 species
GGGCGGAUUCUGGAUUUUAGAAAAGGGGCGACAUUUUUAAAGAUGGCUGAGCGAAGCGAGUCGAAAAAAAUUGUGACCUUUUUGGGGGCUAAAAAACAUAAAAUUUAUGUAGAAUGCAUGUUUAAACGGUUCCUUAUUUUGGGCAUAUAUAUUUUAUAGUUGUUGUAAAGUGUAAGGGUUGAACAUUUUUUUAUGCUGUAUAUAUAAAAUAAUAGUAUGGAUCCAAAGCUAUUUACUGCUUUAUUGCAUGUAGGACCUCGACAUGGACAAUUCUUGUUUGUUGUAUGUUAAGUUAGAACAACCUCACAGAUUUCUUGUUGUAAACCAGAUAUACGCCGGGCUCUUCAAUGAAAUUUACAAUACGACUGACACGAUUGAAGAAAGACAAACAAGCAAUUUUUAUCCAAAUGCUCGGUUGAUAUGUUUCGCCAAAUUUUUUUAAUGGAAAUGCGGGGUUCCAAAUUAACAAAAGGCUACGACAUAAUUCUAAAAUGACAGCGAGUUUAUGAAUGACGGUUGACAAAUGGAUCACACACAGCAGCCGGUGGCAUUUCGGUCUUGAAAAAAGUAUUUAAUAUGCAGUAUCAGUUCGCCGAAACAGACAUUCCAGUCACACAUGCAAACCCCCGCCCCCAAAAAAUACGCC